rnacentral:rRNA from 1 species
UGCCAGACUCCUACGGGAGGCAGCAGUGGGGAAUAUUGCACAAUGGGGGGAACCCUGAUGCAGCGAUGCCGCGUGGAGGAAGAAGGUUUUCGGAUUGUAAACUCCUUUUAUCAGGGACGAUAAUGACGGUACCUGAAGAAUAAGCACCGGCUAACUACGUGCCAGCAGCCGCGGUAAUACGUAGGGUGCGAGCGUUAAUCGGAAUUACUGGGCGUAAAGGGUGUGCAGGCGGCUGAGUAAGACAGAUGUGAAAUCCCCGGGCUUAACCUGGGAACCGCAUAUGUGACUGCUUGGCUAGAGUGCGUCAGAGGGAGGUGGAAUUCCACGUGUAGCAGUGAAAUGCGUAGAUAUGUGGAAGAACACCGAUGGCGAAGGCAGCCUCCUGGGACGCAACUGACGCUCAUACACGAAAGCGUGGGGAGCAAACAGGAUUAGAUACCCCCGUACC